AGGUACUAUCUGUGACAAUAUGUUUUCAUGGUUUGGGAAUAAGACUUGGUGGUCUUGUACAGCUUAUACAUAGGUAGGCACCAAUAAGCAUCACAGCUUGUCUUAGGAUUGAGGCUGGGAAUGGCCAUUGGAGCUGACUUUUAUGGUAACUGUGGCUGCAUAAAAUGAUUGUGUGAUAUAACUGUAACAGUAAAGAAUGUAAUUCAGACAAUUUUUGUGUAUGUUUCACUGUUUACAGUUUGAGAAAAUGUUUAUGAUUUUUUACAAAAAAAAAAAAAAAAAAAAUAUGUAAAGAUUCUUCAUUUUCAACAAGAUUUGAAGUUGUUGGUUAAUGAACUGGUUUUUGGUAUGUAGUUUUGUAAUGAUGAGUUCAUAGCUCAGAUCUUAUUCAUUAUUUUUUUUUUUUUUUUUUUGCCUGUGACCAGAUUUAAUUCCUACUUUGAAAGUGAAGUGAAAUAUAUUGAUAAUGGUCAGUGCUUAGUGACUCUAGUCUUUAACACUUCCAGUAGGUAAAGAAUGGAGAAUCUAAAAAAAAAAAAAAAAAAAAAAAAAAUUUAUGUUAUUUUAUUGAAAUUUAUUUUUUGGUUUCCCUAUUGUUAAUAGAUAUAUAUAUCUUUUCAAACUUUUUGUUAUUUUUAGUUGAGUUUGUAACUAAGCAUAAAAAAUUGUUAGGAAUAUUUCACAACAGUGAAAUUAUUGUUAUUUGAGGGGUCCCAAAGGUAUGCUAUAUGAUUUCACAAAGUACCCAUUAGACUUACAUUGGUUAACAUGUAUUUUUGAAGUUAUGUAUGUGCAAGUCUUACAAGUGCUUUUUGAAAUGAAUUUUGCAGGUUAGAAACCAAUCAAGUAGGACUUUGAUGGCCAAAAACUAAAGGGAAUAUAAAAAAAAUCCUAUUAAACAAUUUAAAUACUGAGAUUAAGUUUAUGCAUUUUUAAUGACUACAAAUAAAAAUGUUUGGUUAGUUGGUCUGGUUUUACUCCACUUUCUGUACAUUUAUACAAAUUAAUGGCUGUCAGUUUUAUUUAUUGGUUUUGUUUAUAUAUUAUAAAUGCAUUAUUCAGCAUCGUAGGCCACUCAAGUGAAAAUGAUUACACAAUUUUUACAGUUUGUUAUAUUUUUAUAUUUUUAUGAGAUUGUUUUUUUAUGUUUUUUCUCAUUCAUCGUUAUUUAUAUUUUGAGGAAUAUUUUAAGGUUUAUUUUUUGAGUAUUGUACUCAACUUCUUAAGAAUUAUUUACCCAUCCAAGAUUAAUCAGGAACCAGUCUUUGCUCUUACUCCUAAAUGCUGCAUGCUUAUAUAUAGCAGAGGAUCAUGAAAUACCAAUUAUUAAUUCUUCGGUUUGAACCAGCUGGGGAUCAUAUUCCAUGACCUUCUGCACGCGAGGCGAGCAUGAAAUGGGCUGUUGAAGAAGAUUUGUCUGUCUGUUUGUCUGUCAUAAUCUCUCAUCCACAGCUUAUAUUGGAAGGUUUUCUUUGAAACUUUCAGUUUAUCUUCUUUAACUAAUGGCAGUGUGUUUUUUAUUUUAUUAUGAAAUUUGGGGGUUCCCAAUUGAAAUGAAUGGACCUUUUGAAUAUUUUGAUUAAGUUGGGAAGGAAUAAUUAACUUCUCACCAAAAUUUCGUCAUGUGAAGGAUAGGUUGGUUUGUUUUUAAUCUUGCUUUUAAUAGUUGGAUCUCAUUAUGACAAAAUUUUCAUAACAUUUAACAAGAAUUUAGAAUAAAUUCUGCUUCAAGACUUUAAUAUAUUACCACUGUAUCUUUUAAGUAAACUUUAUAAGGUUUUGCUAUAACAAGAUUUGUGUUUUAUCUGAUUUUAUAUUAUUUUAGUGGUUUUUAUAUAAUUUUAUUUGUUUUUAUUAUCAAAUCUUAUUAUACCAAGCCUUAAUAUAAUUUACGGGGAAAAUUUAGAUUUUGUUUAUACAUGCAAUACAAGAUAUUUAUUUACGUAAUGAGUAAUGAAUUUAACUAUUGAUGCAUGCAGUCCUUGAAGAUUGACAAAAUUGCAAGAUUUAUGGAUGUAAGUUCAGAAUCUGCUCUAACUAAACUAUGUUGAUAUCAGCUGAACCAUCCUAUCCUUCAGGUUAAUAAGAUGUAAUACAUGAAAAAAAUCCAUUCUUCAAUUGGAGAAUCUUAAAAAGUGAAAAAAAUGGUACACAAUGUCGUCAGAUACUGAAGAUUAUUUGAAAGUUAAGAAAAAGUCCAUUUAAUACUUUAAUUGUGGCUGAAAGUUGUAGAUAGCUAAGCAAACAGAUGACAACCUUGCUCACGAUAACAUAUUUCCUAAUAGAUAAAUCAGACUUUCAAAUAACUUGGUACUGUUAUCCCCUUCCUAGGAAAAAAGUACAAAAUUAACAUUGAUUAGAAAAGAAACUGCAUACAUAAUAAAACAGCUUAGGGUUAAAAAUGAGGAGUUGAAUGCAGUUAACUAUUUCCUUGCAUUGGUGAUCUAAUAAUUUUUGCAAAUAUCAAGAUAUUUAGUUCAUUUUAAUUACACAGUAAAUAGGUUGAGUACACCUCAAACAUGAAUUUGAUUCAUGUAUUUUUAAACUCUUUUUUAUUGUAGUUUUUACCAUAGUUUUCCUUUGUAUAAAAAUUGUUAUAUUUUUGAACUGCCUUUUUUUUUAAAGUAUGAGACAAACUGAGGAUUUAUAUAUUUUAUUGAUAUCUAUAAUUUUUUUUAUAAGUUUGGUAUUAAGUAAUUGAAAGCCUCAAGUUUAUAUAUCAAGCCAAAAAAAUUCACUUUUAAAAAAUAUAAUUCAUGUAUCUCAAGACGGACAUGAUUUUCUAUAACAAUCAGUCUGAGAACUGGUAUCCAGGAAAUACAAAAGAAUCCUCAGAAAUGUCAGU